rnacentral:rRNA from 1 species
GGACCCACACAAGCAGUGGAUCAUGUGGUUUAAUUCGACAAUAAACGAGGAAUCUUACCCAGACUUGACAUCUAUAGAAUCUUUUGGAAACAUUAGAGUGCCCGUAAGGGAGCUAUAAGACAGGUGCUGCAUGGUUGUCGUCAGCUCGUGCCUUGAGGUGUUCGGUUAAGUCCGUUAACGAGCGAAACCUAUGUCGUUAGUUAUUAUGUCUAACGAGACUGCCCUUGUUAAUAGGGAGGAAGGUGUAGAUGAUGUCAAAUCAGCAUGGCUUUUACGUCUGGGGCCACACACAUGAUACAAUGGUGCGUACAAUGAGUAGCAAUAUGGUAACAUGGAGCUAAUCUUUAAAGCGCAUCUCAGUCCGGAUUGAGGUCUGAAACUCGACCUCAUGAAGUUGGAAUUGCUAGUAAUCGUGAAUCAGAUAUGUCACGGUGAAUAUGUUCCUGGGUCUU